rnacentral:lncRNA from 1 species
GGGGGGGGCACCGUGCAGAAUGGGGAGCCCCGGGGGGGGGGCAGAGGUGUCACAUCCCAACUAACCCCCCCCAGAGCUUUGGGGAUGCUCGCUGGCUGCUGGCACCGAGCAGCGAUGCUGCCCCCAAACCCCUUCAGGGGUGCUGCCACCCUCAGGGGUGCACCCCGGGGGGGGGGGCACACACGCGUCUCUGGGGGGGGGGGGCACACGCGUUGGAGAGGGGCUGGGAUUUUGGGGGAAUUUCGUCCCGAGCUGUGUUUACCGGCGGCUCCUGUUGCGUGAAACUUCUGGCUCUCCCUGUAAUUGCUCGGGCACUAAUUCCUGCCCCUCGGAAAACCAGGCAGCCUUCGUGCGGCUCCCUCUGUGCUGGGAAAAUGGGGGGGCAAGCUGGGAAAAGGGGGGGGCAAGCUGGGAAAAAAGGGGGGUGCCCAGAAGGAGCCCCCAGCCCCGCCGCCCCUGGCUCAGCCCCCCCAGCUCCGGCUCGCUCGCGGCAUCCAUCAGGUGGUCGAUUUGCUUCCCAGGCAGCUCGGGGAAGGGGAAAGGGAAAAAAAAAGGAGAAAAGCAAAAAAAAAAAAAAAAAAAAAAAAGAGAGAGAGAGAGAGAGGAGCGUGGAAGUGUCAGCCCGGUGAGAUUUCAAGCAAUUAAGGAAAACGCUGUUGGAGGGGCUGUCAAAGCCAGCAGGCGCCGCGCACCGCCGGGGCUGCUCCUGGCGCAGGUGGGGGCAAAGAGGGUGGAAAUUUCAGGCCCCCCCCCGCGGCCCCGGGCUCGCAGGGGCUCCGCCGAGCGGUUUGCUGGUGGCGGUGACUCAGCGGCAGGAGCCCUGCUGGGGACGGCCACCUCCCCAGGCUCUCCCCGUGCCCCACGCUGCGCCUCGCUGCGUUUGGGGCUGGGACUUGUGAUACCGGAGCGGCUUUCCUGGAGGUGAUGCUGGGGUGGCUGUCCUGGGGACAGCAGCGUCCCUCGGGGACAGAGAGCAUCCCUUGGGGACAGCAGCAUCCCCUGGGGACAGCAGCAUCCCCUGGGGGCCUGGUUGUCCUCACCCUGAUUUGGCACCCUGAUGCGCACGGCCCUUUGGGGCUCCCCAUCCCUUUGGGACCCCCCCCCCUAUUUGGGCACCCACUCGGCCUUAAGAAAAGGGAGCUCGCCGGCAGCUCUGCCACGGGGCCAGGCUGGUCCCGUGGCUCCAGCAGCACCGAAAGAAACCAGCAGGGGAAAAAAAAAAAAAAAAAAAAAAAAAAAAAAAAAAAAAAGGCAAAAAAAAAAAAAGGGAAGGAACUGCACGCGCGGGGGCACCGGCUAGCCUGCCUGGCACCGGCACGUGGGCUCGCCGGCGCUAAUCGCGCUAAUUCCUGGCGCGGGGGAGGCCGGGGAGGGGGCGCCGGGCUCCCAGCCCGCGGGGGGGGCUCUGCGGGAGCCCCUUCCCUGCUCUCUUCCCAGCCUCUUCGCGCCGAGCUGGGCAGGGGCUGGGAGGUGGCGAUGCGCCAUACGCUCCGUCGCCCCCCGGCACGUCCUCCCCCGCUGCUCCGUGCCCCCAAACAUGCUCUUUUUUUAAUUAUUUCUCUUUUUUUAAAUUAUUUCUCAUUUUUCUUUUUUUCCUCUCUCUUUUUUUUUUUCCUCUUUUUUUUUUUUUUUUUCUCUUUUUUUCUCUUUUUUCUUUUUUCCCCUGGGUUUCAAAAGCUUUGCAGGGUGCAAACGCACAGCCGAGCGCAGCGCAAAGCUCCGCUCCUCCACCCAACCCUCUUUGGAGGUGCCGAGGCGGAGGGCGAGCCCCUUUGGGGACCCCCACCGGGGGAUUUGGGGCGCACGGGGGGGCUGCGGGGCGCAGGGUGUCGCCCAGCCAUUGCUGGCAGAUGGCGCCGGUAUUAGGGGAGCGAAAAUCCGCGCUGUAAAUUUGCCAUUUGCCAGUGUUCAUUUCUUCUCCCGAGGUAAAACCUGCCCCCCCCCAGCCCGUGCCGUGCCAGCUGCGGCUUCAUAAAACGUGCGGUGAUGAUGGAGGGGGCGGCGUGGGACCCUCCACGAGCACGGGGUCCGUCCGUCUGUCCGUCCAUCCAUCCUUCUGGGUGCCCCCUCCCCGUCUCGCCCCCUCCCCAGCCCUCGCGGCGGCGCGGCGCGGCCGGGAUUGAUGGAGAUUGCCCGCGACCUUUGCUAGGACAAGAGGCAUUACCAUUAAUACUUCUGUAUUUCCUGGGUUCGCGCGGCGCAUAAAUCUCCUAUCAAGUCAGGCGGGCCGGGUAAUCUGCCAGGCUGCAUUAUUCAUACCCGCCAACCCCCCCCCCCGGUGUUGUAAGCUCUUUGUUGCGCGCCCGUCGGGGGUGCCGAGCCUUUUUGGGGUGGGCUCUGAUGGGGUGCAGUGGGGUCGGGGAAUCCUUGGUGCUGGCUGAGCUUUCUGCUGGGGUCCAGAAGCAGUUGGGGUGGCCCCAAAGGGCUGGGGACGUGUCCUGGGGCUGCUGGUGGUGCUGUGGGGCCGGGGCGUUGCUGUUUGCCCUGUGCUGCAGCUCCGAGCAUCCCUGGCAGUGGUGGGCAGCGCUAUCCUGGACCCCCCCCAACCCCUAACCAUGGGGGAUGCUCUCAAUAACCUGAAGCAUUAAAGGGUGAGGGUCACCACGCUGUUGGGUCCAGCCCUGCUCACCUCCUGGCUGCUCGGAGGUGCCAGGAUUUUGGCUCCUGGCCCUGCUGGACGGGGCCAAAAUGCCCUAAAAGCAGUGGGAUGGAGGGAGCCGGCCCCAUCACCUCACCUCCCUGCCUCCCAACUCUGCCCCAGAGCCCCCGGCUCUGCCCCUGCCCCGUUCGCCCUUCGCCUCCCUCCUGCCCCGUGCAAGACCCAGCCUGCGCGAGAGCCUAAUCUCCAAUUUUAUUCGCUCGGCUC